rnacentral:rRNA from 1 species
UACAGAGGUCUCAAGCGUUGUUCGGAUUCAUUGGGCGUAGAGGGUGCGUAGGCGGCGCGGUAAGUCGGGUGUGAAAUCUCGGAGCUUAACUCCGAAACUGCAUUUGAUACUGCCGUGCUUGAGGACUGGAGAGGAGACUGGAAUUUACGGUGUAGCGGUGAAAUGCGUAGAUAUCGUAAGGAAGACCAGUGGCGAAGGCGGGUCUCUGGACAGUUCCUGACGCUGAGGCACGAAGGCCAGGGGAGCAAACGGG